rnacentral:rRNA from 1 species
GGCUACACACGUGCUACAAUGGGUAGAACAGAGAGUUGCAAAGCCGUGAGGUGAAGCUAAUCUCAGAAAACUAUUCUUAGUUCGGAUUGUACUCUGCAACUCGAGUACAUGAAGUUGGAAUCGCUAGUAAUCGCAAAUCAGCAAUGUUGCGGUGAAUACGUUCUCGGGUCUUGUACACACCGCCCGUCACACCACGAGAGUUGGUUGCACCUGAAGUAGCAGGCCUAACCGCAAGGAGGGAUGCUCCGAGGGUGUGAUUAGCGAUUGGGGUGAAGUCGUAACAAGGUAUCCGUACGGGAACGU